UAAAUACAGUUUGGGUGGAGUUGACUUCUGGGAUCUGCUCACCUGCUUGACGUCACUGCCGUGAUUGGUGCUGUAGAUGAUGCGGUGUGC